rnacentral:tRNA from 1 species
GCCGAGAUGGCGGAGCUUGGUCCAACGCGCACGCCUGGAAAGCGUGUGAGCCUUGUGCUCGCGCAGGUUCAAAUCCUGCUCUCGGCG